CAAUAGCGUAUAUUAAAGUUGUUGCAGUUAGAACGCUCGUAGUCGGAUUUCGGGGCGGGUCGACCGGUCUGCCGAUGGGUACGCACUGGCCGACGCGUCCUUCCUUCCGGAGACCGUCCCUACUCUUAACUGAGCGGGGGCGGGAGACGGAACGUUUACUUUGAAAAAAUCAGAGUGUUUCAAGCAGGCAUCUCGCUCUUGCAUGGAUUAGCAUGGGAUAUUGAAAUAGGACUUUGGUGCUAUUUUGUUGGUUUCGAACACCGAAGUAAUGAUGAGAAGGGACAGUCAGGGGCACUCGUAUUCCGCCGAGAGAGGUGAAAUUCUCAGACCAGCGGAAGACGAACCACUGCGAAAGCAUUUGCCAGGGAUGUUUUCACUGA
rnacentral:rRNA from 1 species